AUGGUCAACAAUUUUCGCAACAAAUCCCAAUGUAAAUUUUGUGGCAGCCAACCAAUGCACACAUGCAUAAUGCAAAAUGGUCAAGACUACAAUAUGCAACAAACAAGCAUUCAAAAUCCAUCGCAGGCAGCAGGAUAUUGUCCAGUCUAUCAACCCUUACUUGCUCGUGGACAAGAUCAGUACACUAGUUUCUCUAAUGCAAGUUCUCAACUUGCAUUUCCGAACCUUUCAGCAUACACGACAUUGAAUGAUAUUCGCCAGUGGACUUCCAUCCCUGAAGGGGAGAUAUCUGUGGAAGAUGUACAUCCUUUAAUUGUCCCGACACAAAUUCAAGAGACUUAUGGGUCAUUUAGAUGUGGUCAAGUACUACUUCAAUGGGAUAAACCUCAUAUGGAGCCCAAGGAACACUGGAACUUUCUUGACGAGCUCAUGCCGCUGCAUAGCACACAGUCAAGGUUUUAUGGAGAAAGUUUACCCAGUACAAGCCUCAUGGAUAAAGCCCAUAAAUUACUGGCCAGUACUUCAUCAGGUGAUUCUGUUUUGAAGAUGAUUACUGGUGUUACGAGUCGAGCCACGCAAACUCCUCAGAGGAGAGGCGUUCUCAUUCGUCCCAUUGAGCCAUAUGAUUCAAACGCUGACAUUUUCAGGCCACCAGUUAAGAAGCAAAGGAAUGCCAAAUAUCAACUGCGGUUUGUCAAUAGGGUUUGCAAUGACUACUACACCCAGGAACAAAUCAAAUCAGGGGAUGGGAGUCUGUUAAAGGUAGCUUUGUAUGAUGAGAAUAAUCGGGUAGUCACAUCUGGUCCGCUGUCUUCAGCUUCUGUGGAGGUCGUACUACUUCAUGGCGAUUUCAAUGUCGAAGGUCAAGAUUAUUGGACAUCAGAGGAGUUCAGUGCCUGCCUAGUGCAUUCACAAUCCUUAGAAGAACCACCAGCCCUGGGAGGUGACCGUGUCUUGGCACUGACUGAUGGAGAGGCAGCCCUUGGUAAUGUCAGUUUCCAGAUUUCCUCCUUCCAUGCCAGAACAGGAAAGUUCAAGAUGGGUGUUGAGAUUAAAAACGUACGAGAAGAGAGUGUUCAACAAGGAAUCACUAGCCCAUUUCUCGUGAGAGUUCGUCAAGGGGAAGAAUCAAGUCACCAUCGGAUCACAUCUCCCGAAGCGUUGCUCAGAGUAAGAAUGGAAUUGCCCAAACAAGUCUGCGGGGCGCUGCAGUGCGAUGCCAGGGAACGCGCGUCGUCGGAUCAGUCGUCGCCGGAGAGAAAUGUCUUGGUGGCGUCGAAGGUGGAGGACCAUGACAGCAUAGUACAGAGCGGGAGCGGCGUGUUAUUAUUCCCAGCCCCGCCGCCGUCGUCGGAGCAGGCACGGGUGCCGCAGCCGGAGCCGGGGCUCAAGUGCCCGCGCUGCGACUCCACCAACACCAUGUUCUGCUACUUCAACAACUACUCCCUCACCCAGCCCCGUCACUUCUGCCAAGCAUGCCGCCGCUAUUGGACCCGCGGCGGCGCGCUCCGCAACGUCCCCAGCUGCCACGCCAAGCGCAGCGCCAAACGAAGCGCCAAGCGUUGCGCCAAGUCCAAGGCCUCCGCCGGAGAACCCGCGGCGACAGCGACACCAUCGUCCGCAUUGACGGCAACGAAGCCCAACACUACUUCUUGCAUCGGCGCCGCACCGCCGGGUCUCCACCAGUACUCCAUGUUCUGCACCAAGAGCGAGUCGCCGCACAGCAAUCGGUUCGCCGACAACUUCGACCUGGCGAGCCUCCGCCUCGGCUUCCCCGCUAGGCUGCUCUUUGCUGACGGAGGCGUGCACCACCAGCCGGUGUUGCAGGGAAUGUUCGACUUAGGGCUACAGAGCGGCGGCGGCAAUUGCGAGGACGGAGCCAGUUCCACCACCAAGUGA
rnacentral:rRNA from 1 species